rnacentral:rRNA from 1 species
UACAGAGGGGGCAAGCGUUGUUCGGAAUUACUGGGCGUAAAGGGCGCGUAGGCGGCCUUCUAAGUCGAACGUGAAAUCCCCGGGCUCAGCCCGGGAACUGCGUCCGAUACUGGAAGGCUUGAAUCCGGGAGAGGGAUGUGGAAUUCCAGGUGUAGCGGUGAAAUGCGUAGAUAUCUGGAGGAACACCGGUGGCGAAGGCGACAUCCUGGACCGGUAUUGACGCUGAGGCGCGAAAGCCAGGGGAGCAAACGGG